rnacentral:rRNA from 1 species
UUCCGGUUGAUCCCGCCGGACCUGACUGCUAUCGGAUUGGUACUAAGCCAUGUGAGCCGUUGUAGCAAUACAAGGCAUACGGCUCAGUAACACGUAGUCAAUCUAACCUAUGGACGGGGAUAACCUCGGGAAACUGAGGAUAAAACCCGAUAGAUCAUAAUGCCUGGAACGGUUUAUGGUUCAAAUAAUUCGUUGCCGUAGGGUGGGACUGCGGCCUAUCAGCUUGUUGGUGAGGUAAUGGCCCACCAAGGCUAUUACAGGUACGGGCUCUGAGAGGAGAAGCCCGGAGAUGGGUACUGAGACACGGACCCAGGCCCUAUGGGGCGCAGCAGGCGAGAAACCUUUGCAAUGUGCGCAAGCACGACAAGGCUAAUCCGAGUGUUUCCUGUUAAAGGAAUCUUUUGUUAGUUCUAAAACCACUAUUGAAUAAGGGGGUGGGCAAGUUCUGGUGUCAGCCGCCGCCGGUAAAACCAGCACCUCAAGUGGUCAGGAUGAUUAUUGGGCCUAAAGCAUCCGUAGCCUGUUCUGUAAGUUUCCGGUUAAAUCCAUUAGCUCAACUAAUGGGCUGCCGAAAAUACUGCAGAACUAGGGAGUGGGAGAGGUAGACGGUACUCGGUAGGAAGGGGUAAAAUCCUUUGAUCUAUUGAUGACCACCAGUGGCGAAGGCGGUCUACCAGAACACGUUCAGACGGUGAGGGAUGAAAGCUGGGGGAGCAAACCGGAUUAGAUACCCGGGUAGUCCCAGCUUGUAAACGAUGCAGACUCGGUGAUGCGCUGGCUUGUGGCCAGUGCAGUGCCGCAGGGAAGCCGUUAAGUUUGCCGCCUGGGAAGUACGUACGCAAGUAUGAAACUUAAAGGAAUUGGCGGGGGAGCACCACAAGGGGUGAAGCCUGCGGUUCAAUUGGAUUCAACGCCGGA